AGUGAACGCUGGUGGCAGGCUUAACACAUGCAAGUCGAACGCCCCGCAAGGGGAGUGGCAGACGGGUGAGUAACGCGUGGGAAUAUCCCCUUUGGUUCAGGACAGCCCCGGGAAACUGGGAUUAAUACUGGAUAAGAUCUACGGACGAAAGAUUUAUCGCCGAAGGAUUAGCCCGCGUAAGAUUAGCUAGUUGGUGAGGUAAUGGCUCACCAAGGCUACGAUCUUUAGCUGGUCUGAGAGGAUGAUCAGCCACACUGGAACUGAGACACGGUCCAGACUCCUACGGGAGGCAGCAGUGAGGAAUAUUGGACAAUGGGCGCAAGCCUGAUCCAGCCAUGCCGCGUGAGUGAUGAAGGCCCUAGGGUUGUAAAACUCUUUUAGUUGGGAAAAUAAUGAUGGUACCAACAGAAAAAGCUCCGGCUAACUUCGUGCCAGCCGCCGCCGUAA
rnacentral:rRNA from 1 species